rnacentral:rRNA from 1 species
GAUGAACGCUGGCGGCGUGCCUAAUACAUGCAAGUCGAGCGAACAGACGAGGAGCUUGCUCCUCUGACGUUAGCGGCGGACGGGUGAGUAACACGUGGAUAACCUACCUAUAAGACUGGGAUAACUUCGGGAAACCGGAGCUAAUCCCGGAUAAUAUAUUGAACCGCAUGGUUCAAUAGUGAAAGACGGUUUUGCUGUCACUUAUAGAUGGAUCCGCGCCGCAUUAGCUAGUUGGUAAGGUAACGGCUUACCAAGGCAACGAUGCGUAGCCGACCUGAGAGGGGGAUCGGCCACACGGGAACUGAGACACGGUCCAGACUCCUACGGGAGGCAGCAGUAGGGAAUCUUCCGCAAUGGGCGAAAGCCUGACGGAGCAACGCCGCGUGAGUGAUGAAGGUCUUCGGAUCGUAAAACUCUGUUAUUAGGGAAGAACAAAUGUGUAAGUAACUAUGCACGUCUUGACGGUACCUAAUCAGAAAGCCACGGCUAACUACGUG